rnacentral:rRNA from 1 species
AUACGGAGGAUCCGAGCGUUAUCCGGAUUUAUUGGGUUUAAAGGGUGCGCAGGCGGGAGAUUAAGUCGGCGGUGAAAUUUUUCAGCUCAAAUGUAAAAGUGCCUUCGAAACUUGUUUCCUUUAGUGUAGAUUAAAUAGGCGGAAUUUGUGGGGGAGCGGGGAAAUGCAUAGAUAUCACGAGGAACUCCGCUUGCGCAGGCAGCUUACUAAACUACUACUGACGCUCAGGCACGAAGGCGUGGGGAUCAAACAGGAUUAGAUACCCUGGUAGUCCACGCAGUAAACGAUGAUUACUAGCUGUUUGGGAUACAAUGUAAGCGGCUGAGCGAAAGCGUUAAGUAAUCCACCUGGGGAGUACGUUCGCAAGAAUGAAACUCAAAGGAAUUGACGGGG